GCGAUCAUACCAGCAUAAUGCACCAUCCGGAUCCCAUCAGAACUCCGAAGGUUAAGCGUGCUUGGCGAGAGAGUAGUACUAAGAUGGGUGAACCUCUUGGGAAGUCCUCGUGUUGCACCCC
rnacentral:rRNA from 1 species